rnacentral:rRNA from 1 species
GCACCGCUGACGAGUGCGAACGGGUGAGUAUGCGUCGGAAUGUACCGUGUAAUGGGGAUAGCUCGGCGAAAGCCGGAUUAAUACCGCNUACGCCUGAGGGGGAAAGCGGGGGAUCGAAAGACCUCGCGUUAUACGAGCAGCCGACGUCUGAUAGCUAGUUGGUGAGGUAAGAGCUCACCAGGCGACGAUCAGUAGCGGGUCUGAGAGGAUGAUCCGCCACACUGGGACUGAGACACGGCCCAGACUCUACGGGAGGCAGCAGUGGGGAAUUUUGGACAAUGGGGGCAACCCUGAUCCAGCCAUGCCGCGUGUCUGAAGAAGGCCUUCGGGUUGUAAAGGACUUUUGUCAGGGAGGAAAUCCCGCUGGUUAAUACCCGGCGGGGAUGACAGUACCUGAAGAAUAAGCACCGGCUAACUACGUGCCAGCAGCCGCGGUAAUACGUAGGGUGCGAGCGUUAAUCGGAAUUACUGGGCGUAAAGCGUGCGCAGGCGGUUGUGCAAGUCUGAUGUGAAAGCCCCGGGCUUAACCUGGGAACGGCAUUGGAGACUGCACAGCUAGAGUGCGUCAGAGGGGGGUAGAAUUCCACGUGUAGCAGUGAAAUGCGUAGAGAUGUGGAGGAAUACCGAUGGCGAAGGCAGCCCCCUGGGAUGACACUGACGCUCAUGCACGAAAGCGUGGGGAGCAAACAGGAUUAGAUACCCUGGUAGUCCACGCCCUAAACGAUGUCAACUAGCUGUUGGGGGUUUGAAUCCUUGGUAGCGUAGCUAACGCGUGAAGUUGACCGCCUGGGGAGUACGGCCGCAAGGUUAAAACUCAAAGGAAUUGACGGGGACCCGCACAAGCGGUGGAUGAUGUGGAUUAAUUCGAUGCAACGCGAAAAACCUUACCUGCUCUUGACAUGUACGGAACUUGCCAGAGAUGGCUUGGUGCCCGAAAGGGAGCCGUAACACA